rnacentral:tRNA from 1 species
AGAAAGGUGCUAGAGCGGCCGAAUAGGCUACCUUGGAAAGGUAGUGUACUUGCAAGAGUACCGUGGGUUCGAAUCCCAUCCUUUCUA